rnacentral:rRNA from 1 species
UUGCGCAUGGGGGAAACCCUGNCGCAGCAACGCCGCGUGGGUGAUGAAGGCCUUCGGGUCGUAAAGCCCUGUCAGGUGGGAAGAAACUUGUGGAUGCUAAUAUCAUCCACACUUGACGGUACCACCGGAGGAAGCACCGGCUAACUCCGUGCCAGCAGCCGCGGUAAUACGGAGGGUGCAAGCGUUGUUCGGAAUUAUUGGGCGUAAAGCGCGUGUAGGUGGUUGGGUAAGUCAGAUGUGAAAGUCUUCUGCUUAACAGAAGAAGUGCAUUUGAGACUGCUCGGCUAGAGUACGGGAGAGGAGAGUGGAAUUCCCGGUGUAGAGGUGAAAUUCGUAGAUAUCGGGAGGAACACCAGUGGCGAAGGCGGCUCUCUGGUCCGAUACUGACGCUGAGACGCGAAAGCGUGGGGAGCAAACAGGAUUAGAUACCCUGGUAGUCCACGCCGUAAACGAUGGGCACUAGGUGUAGGAGGUAUUGACCCCUUCUGUGCCGAAGCUAACGCAUUAAGUGCCCCGCCUGGGGAGUACGGCCGCAAGGCUAAAACUCAAAAAAAUUGACGGA